GAUGAACGCUGGCGGCGUGCCUAAUACAUGCAAGUCGAGCGAACGGACGAGAAGCUUGCUUUUCUGAUGUUAGCGGCGGACGGGUGAGUAACACGUGGAUAACCUACCUAUAAGACUGGGAUAACUUCGGGAAACCGGAGCUAAUACCGUAUAAUAUUUUGAACCGCAUGGUUCAAAAGUGAAAGACGGUCUUGCUGUCACUUAUAGCUGGAUCCGCGCUGCAUUAGCUAGUUGGUAAGGUAACGGCUUACCAAGGCAACGAUGCAUAGCCGACCUGCGAGAGUGAUCGGCCACACUGGAACUGAGACGCGGUCCAGACUCCUACGGGAGGCAGCAGUAGGGAAUCUGACGCAGUGGGCGAAAGCCUGACGGAGCAACGCCGCGUGAGAGAUGAAGGUCUUCGGAGCGUAAAACUCUGUUAUGAGGGAAGAACAGAUGUGUAAGUAACUGUGCACAUCUUGACGGUACCGAAUCAGAAAGCCACGGCUAACUACGUG
rnacentral:rRNA from 1 species